rnacentral:rRNA from 1 species
CCUACGGGGGGCAGCAGUCGAGAAUUUUUCUCAAUGGGGGAAACCCUGAAGGAGCGACGCCGCGUGGAGGAUGAAGGCUUUCGGGUUGUAAACUCCUGUCAUUUGAGAACUAGUAUCAGAAGAGGAAGAGACGGCUAACUCUGUGCCAGCAGCCGCGGUAAUACAGAGGUCUCAAGCGUUGUUCGGAUUCAUUGGGCGUAAAGGGUGCGUAGGUGGCGGGGUAAGUCAGGUGUGAAAUUUCGGAGCUUAACUCCGAAACUGCAUUUGAUACUGCCUUGCUUGAGGACUGGAGAGGAGACUGGAAUUCACGGUGUAGCAGUGAAAUGCGUAGAGAUCGUGAGGAAGACCAGUGGCGAAGGCGGGUCUCUGGACAGUCCUGACACUGAGGCACGAAGGCCAGGGGAGCAAACGGGAUUAGAUACCCUUGUAGUC